AUCGACGCGUAUCGGAUUACUGGGCGUAAGCGCGCGUAGGUGGUUAAUUAAGUCAAAUGUGAAAUCCCCGAGCUUAACUUGGGAAUUGCAUUCGAUACUGGUUAGCUAGAGUAUGGGAGAGGAUGGUAGAAUUCCAGGUGUAGCGGUGAAAUGCGUAGAGAUCUGGAGGAAUACCGAUGGCGAAGGCAGCCAUCUGGCCUAAUACUGACACUGAGGUGCGAAAGCAUGGGGAGCAAACAGGAUUAGAUACCCUGGUAGUCCAUGCCGUAAACGAUGUCUACUAGCCGUUGGGGGAUUUGAUCCUUUAGUGGCGCAGCUAACGCGAUAAGUAGACCGCCUGGGGAGUACGGUCGCAAGACUAAAACUCAAAUGAAUUGACGGGGGCCCGCACAAGCGGUGGAGCAUGUGGUUUAAUUCGAUGCAACGCGAAGAACCUUACCUGGCCUUGACAUAGUAGAAACUUUCCAGAGAUGGAUUGGUGCCUUCGGGAAUCUACAUACAGGUGCUGCAUGGCUGUCGUCAGCUCGUGUCGUGAGAUGUUGGGUUAAGUCCCGCAACGAGCGCAACCCUUUUCCUUACUUGCCAGCAUUUCGGAUGGGAACUUUAAGGAUACUGCCAGUGACAAACUGGAGGAAGGCGGGGACGACGUCAAGUCAUCAUGGCCCUUACGGCCAGGGCUACACACGUGCUACAAUGGUCGGUACAAAGGGUUGCUACACAGCGAUGUGAUGCUAAUCUCAAAAAGCCGAUCGUAGUCCGGAUCGCAGUCUGCAACUCGACUGCGUGAAGUCGGAAUCGCUAGUAAUCGCGGAUCAGAAUGCCGCGGUGAAUACGUUCCCAGGCCUUGUACACACCGUCCCGUCACACCAUGUGAGUGUGUUGCACAUGAGUACGUAGUCUAACCGCAAGCACGACCCUUACCACGGUGUGACCGAGACUGGGUGAAGUCGUAACAGAUAACAAAAAAAA
rnacentral:rRNA from 1 species